rnacentral:rRNA from 1 species
AUUGAACGCUGGCGGAAUGCCUAACACAUGCAAGUCGAGCGGAGUAGCAAUACUCAGCGGCGGACGGGUGAGGAAUACAUAGGAACUUGCCUUUAGGUGGGGGAUAGCUUGGGGAAACUCAAGGUAAUACCGCAUGAUCUCGCAAGAGCAAAGGGGCGCAAGUCUCGCCUUUAGAGAGGCCUCUGUCUGAUUAGCUAGUUGGCGGUGUAAUAGACCACCAAGGCGACGAUCAGUAACUGGUCUGAGAGGACGAUCAGUCACACCGGAACUGAGACACGGUCCGGACUCCUACGGGAGGCAGCAGUGGGGAAUAUUGGACAAUGGGCGAAAGCCUGAUCCAGCAAUUCCGCGUGUGUGAAGAAGGCCUUCGGGUUGUAAAGCACUUUAGUGAGGGAAGAAACAGCUUGGCCACACCAAGCCUUGACGGUACCUCAAGAAUAAGCACCGGCUAACUCUGUGCAGCCGCCGCAGUAA